ACCAGACUCCUACGGGAGGCAGCAGUCGGGAAUAUUGCGCAAUGGAGGAAACUCUGACGCAGUGACGCCGCGUGCAGGAAGAAGGUUUUCGGAUUGUAAACUGCUUUAGACAGGGAAGAAAAAAGACAGUACCUGUAGAAUAAGCUCCGGCUAACUACGUGCCAGCAGCCGCGGUAAUACGUAGGGAGCGAGCAUUAUCCGGAUUUAUUGGGUGUAAAGGGUGCGUAGACGGGAAGUUAAGUUAGUUGUGAAAUCCCAAGGCUCAACUUUGGAACUGCAACUAAAACUAAUUUUCUUGAGUACUGGAGAGGAAAGUGGAAUUCCUAGUGUAGCGGUGAAAUGCGUAGAUAUUAGGAGGAACACCAGUGGCGAAGGCGACCGCCUGGCCUGUUGCUGACGCUGAGGCACGAAAGCGUGGGGAGCAAAUAGGAUUAGAUACCCCCGUA
rnacentral:rRNA from 1 species